GAUAGCCAUAGAUCACGAGCGGAUCAAGUGUGGGUUGGCUGACCAGCCGGACCUGCUGUAGCGUAGCAUCGUAUAACCCACCCCAGUACAUCGCUUUUGCCACCAGCAGUAGGGCCCCCGCUCCUAAAAAUAAGAGGUGGUGACCCAGAAUUACUCCCAGUUGUUUGGGAUCAUCCCA
rnacentral:antisense_RNA from 1 species